UUCCUGGUGGUCCAGUGGCUAAGACUUUGCAGUGGUGAUGCAGGCGGCCCAGGUUCGAUCCCUGAUCAGGGAG
rnacentral:tRNA from 1 species